AAAAAAUUAAAAAAAUAAUAAUAAUAAAAAAAACAACUUCAUUUCCAAGGCAGGUCUAGCAGGUAUUUUUAAUCAUGGACAUGAAGAAGAUUUCCCUCGCCAUCAUCUUCGCUGCCGCCUACAUGAGCGCAGUCAUGGCUGCUGGCGCAGAAGGUCCUGCUGCUGCCGAUGCAGAAGCUCCUGCCGCUGCUGGCGCAGAAGGUCCUGUCGGCGCUGCUGGCGCAGAAGGUCCUGCCGGCGCUGCUGGCCCAUCACCUGGCGGAGCCGCUGCCGCCAGCGGAGCUGCCAUGAUCUCUCCAGUUAUUGGGGCUUACCUUGUUUCCUUCUUUGCCUACUAUCUACAGUAAGCUUAUUCAAAUGGAAGGAGAAGGGGAAGGAUUUAUAUUUAUAUAUUAC
rnacentral:lncRNA from 1 species